rnacentral:rRNA from 1 species
AAAACAUCUUUUCCUGAAAUAUCUAUGAAAUAUUCCCUGCCCAAUGUUAUGUUAAUGGCCGCAGUAUUCUGACUGUGCAAAGGUAGCAUAAUCAUUAGCUUAUUAAUUGUGGGCUUGUAUGAAUGGGUUGACGAAAUAUUAACUGUCUCAUUAUUAUUGUUUGAAUUUAAAUUUUUGGUUAAAAUGCCUAGAUAUUUUUGUGGGACGAGAAGACCCUAUAGAUCUUUAGUAACUGAUUUAUAGGUUGUUUAGUAUAUUUAAUAUUAUAAGGUAAUUUACUUUUGUUGGGGUGACAUUAAGAUAUAAUAAACUCUUAAUGAUUAUUAACAUUUAUAUAUGUGUUUUUGAUCUUAAUUAUUGCUUAUAAGACUAGAUACCUUAGGGAUAACAGCGUAAUCUUUUUUGAGAGUUCUUAUCGACGAUAAGGGUUGCGACCUCGAUGUUGGAUUAAGGUAAUUUUUAGGUGUAGUAGCUUAAUUAAUAGGUCUGUUCGACCUUUAAAUUCUUACAUGAUCUGA